CUUUCAUCGACAUUGAUCGAGCCUCCCUCAUCAUCAAUCCUACCAGACCUGUUGCUUGAGAAUUGAUCGAACAAAAGCUUUCCCUGUAUGUUAGGUCCAUAGAAUAUGCAAGAUGUUCGCAUUGAAAUCUUUGAACAGAAAAUCGACAAAGAUUACAAAAUGAGUGGUUUUACAGAAGUAUGUAAGAUCAUCUUCUUGUAAAGUUGAUGGUCUUCCUUAUCAAGUAUUCUAUCUUUGAAUCUCCCUUAUCAAAUAUGAUUAUUUUAUGAACAUAUUUGACAAGGGAGCUAUAGAGAUAGAAUAUCCAAUCAGCCGACCUCAGCUGACUAGGAAGAUGAUCUCAAUUCCAUACAUAUACUAUGAACUUGGAGUGCAGUGUUCAAUAGAUCCUGCAAUGAGUGAUGCGGUGGGUUGCCACACCGAAUCUUUAUCAAAGCAGUCGUUGAGCCCUUCUAAGAGUGAGGAUGCAUGAAGAAGGGAUGAUGCUAGUGGCUAGAUGCUGUUGCUUUUUUUUUUUCAAUUGUAUUCUUAAUA